rnacentral:rRNA from 1 species
UACGUAGGGUGCAAGCGUUAAUCGGAAUUACUGGGCGUAAAGCGUGCGCAGGCGGUUGUGCAAGACAGAUGUGAAAUCCCCGGGCUUAACCUGGGAACUGCAUUUGUGACUGCACGGCUGGAGUGCGGCAGAGGGGGAUGGAAUUCCGCGUGUAGCAGUGAAAUGCGUAGAUAUGUGGAGGAAUACCGAUGGCGAAGGCAGCCCCCUGGGUCAAUACUGACGCUCAUGCACGAAAGCGUGGGGAGCAAACAGG